GAUGAAGAACGCAGCGAAAUGCGAUAAGUAAUGUGAAUUGCAGAAUUCAGUGAAUCAUCGAAUCUUUGAACGCACAUUGCGCCCGCCAGUAUUCUGGCGGGCAUGCCUGUUCGAGCGUCAUUUCAACCCUCAGGCCCCCAGUGCCUGGCGUUGGGGAUCGGCGCGGCGCCCUCCGGGGCGCUGCCGGCCCCGAAAUUCAGUGGCGGUCCCGCUGUAGCCCUCCUCCGCGUAGUAGCACAACCUCGCGGCCUGGAGCUCGGCGGUGGCCAUGCCGUAAAACACCCCACUUCUGAAAGUUGACCUCGGAUCAGGUAGGAAUACCCGCUGAACUUAAGCAUAUCAAUAAGCGGAGGA
rnacentral:misc_RNA from 1 species